rnacentral:rRNA from 1 species
GACGAACGCUGGCGGCGUGCUUAACACAUGCAAGUGGAGCGACGAACCAGGGCUUGCCCUGGGGCAGAGCCGCGAACGGGUGAGUAACACGUGGGUAACGUGCCCCGAUGACUGGGACAACCCGGGGAAACCCGGGCUAAUACCGGAUGUGCCCCCUCUCAUCAGUGAGGUGUGUAAAGGAAGCUUCGGCCUCCGCAUCGGGAUCGGCCCGCGGCCCAUUAGCUUGUUGGGGAGGUAACGGCUCACCAAGGCUGCGAUGGGUAGCUGGUCUGAGAGGACGAUCAGCCACACUGGGACUGAGACACGGCCCAGACUCCUACGGGAGGCAGCAGUGGGGAAUCUUGCGCAAUGCGCGAAAGCGUGACGCAGUAACGCCGCGUGGGGGAAGACGGCCUUCGGGUUGUAAACCCCUUUCAGUUGGGACGAAGGUCGGGCGGUUAACAGCCGUUCCGGCUGACGGUACCUUCACAAGAAGCCCCGGCUAACUACGUG